CCUUCGGGUUGUAAAGCACUUUCAGUCAGGAGGAAAGGUUAGUUGGUUAAUACCCAUUAGGUGUGACGUUACUGACAGAAGAAGCACCGGCUAACUCCGUGCCAGCAGCCGCGGUAAUACGGAGGGUGCGAGCGUUAAUCGGAAUUACUGGGCGUAAAGCGUACGCAGGCGGUUUGUUAAGCGAGAUGUGAAAGCCCCGGGCUCAACCUGGGAACUGCAUUUCGAACUGGCAAACUAGAGUGUGAUAGAGGGUGGUAGAAUUUCAGGUGUAGCGGUGAAAUGCGUAGAGAUCUGAAGGAAUACCGAUGGCGAAGGCAGCCACCUGGGUCAACACUGACGCUCAUGUACGAAAGCGUGGGGAGCAAACGGGAUUAGAUACCCCGGUAGUCCACGCCGUAAACGAUGUCUACUAGAAGCUCGGAGCCUCGGUUCUGUUUUUCAAAGCUAAC
rnacentral:rRNA from 1 species